UACGGAGGGUGCGAGCGUUGUCCGGAAUCACUGGGCGUAAAGGGCGCGUAGGCGGCCUGGCAAGUCGAUGGUGAAAGCCCGUGGCUCAACCCCGGGUCUGCCAUGCCGACUGUCAGGCUCGAGUGCUGUAGGGGCAGGCGGAAUUCCGGGUGUAGCGGUGGAAUGCGUAGAGAUCCGGAGGAAGACCGGUGGCGAAGGCGGCCUGCUGGGCAGUUACUGACACUGAGGCGCGACAGCGUGGGGAGCAAACAGG
rnacentral:rRNA from 1 species